CGUAGGCAGCGAGCGUUGUUCGGAGUUACUGGGCGUAAAGACGUGCGUAGGCGGUGGUCCAAGUCUGGUGUGAAAUCUCCCGGCUCAACUGGGAGGGUGCGCCGGAAACUGGGCCGCUGGAGUAUGGGAGAGGCAAGCGGAAUUCCAGGUGUAGCGGUGAAAUGCGUAGAUAUCUGGAGGAACACCCGUGGUGCAGACGGCUUGCUGGACCAUCACUGACGCUGAGGCACGAGAGCGUGGGUAGCAAACAGGAUUAGAUACCCUGGUAGUCCACGCCCUAAACGAUGCAUACUUGGUGUGGGCAGUUCAGUCUGUCCGUGCCGAAGCUAACGCGAUAAGUAUGCCGCCUGGGGAGUACGGUCGCAAGGCUG
rnacentral:rRNA from 1 species